rnacentral:lncRNA from 1 species
UCAGCUCUACCUCAAAGGUAAUUUUUUUUAAAUAUAUUUUUCUAGUAUAAAAAAAUCGUCAAAAAAAGGAUUAGUGUUACUCAUAUAAGCUUUAUUUAUACCUAAUACUUAUUAAAUUAGGUAUGUAUGUAAAACUAUUUUUUUACUAGGAUUUCUGAUGCACUGGUUAAAAACACAGCAGCCGAUAAUUCAGUUAAUUUACCAAGUGAUUUAUCCUUCAAAGCUGCAGGGGUAGCUUUCCUAAAGAGUGCAAAAACUUCUUUAGCUUCCAAAAUGGUAUAUAGUACAAACAGUGAAGCUAAUAUAGACAAAUCUGAUCAUUCAUCAUCAACAAUAACUGCAUCUGAGAUUAAUAGUUCUACAGUAACCGAGGGGUCUAGGUCAACAAUUACUAUUUCUCAUCUAAGCCGUUUUUGUUUAACUGCUACACAUUCCCUGACUCUGCCAAGGAAAAGGGUAAAAUCAAAAUGAUAUCCUGAGGACCUAAGCACUGAUGAUUCCACCGUUUCAAAAGCUAAAUCACUUGUUACCAAAUUAUGGAAAAAAAAUAAAGAACAAAAAAUUAAAAUUCGAAGAUUGCAAUAAACAAAUUUGCC